rnacentral:lncRNA from 1 species
GAAUGAAGCAUGCAUAAUUCAUAAAGCCCCAUCCCGUUACGUAUCAGAGCGACCUAGAAGACACAGUGAAGGCAAGGCCACUCACGACGGAAACAGCACACUAAGCUCGGUCACCUGCACGUUACCCACGGUCGAGGUAACAUUCAAACAGAAGGGGUGAGAUUUCAUAACAGAUUAACAUUAAACAAUGCAAUUAAGAAUCAUAAGUUAACAACAUGGUCAUUUCAUUAAUUAACUUUGCAUAAUUGCUAAACUUUUAACACGUAAUCGUAUAUCCAUUAAUUAGGGAUAACAUAACAUAAUCAAUAAGCACGUAUCACGUAAUCACAUAUUCAAUCAUUAUCAACAAGGCAUCUUAAUCAUGACAAUGUGACAAUGCUCCUAGACUCCAUAUAUGCAUGUGGUACCAAUCGUCAUCAUAAGUAUUAAUAUACUUUAAUCGUGCGGAGGACAAAGCUCCUAUAAAACGUGCGGAGGACAAAGCUCCUAAUUUUCGUGGUGAGGACAAAGCUCAAUGUUAUGCUAUGCAUGGACACAUAUGAACAAAACAACGUAAUCGACUUAUCAACAUGCAUCCAAUAAUUUGGAGCUAAACUUCAUCAUAUACUUAUGCACUUAGUUAAACAACGGAAGCAGCAUAAACAGAUCACAUAAACAAAAUGAUAUCAUUAUAUCAAUAGCACAUAAAUUACAUCAUUAUCAAGUUUUCAUAUCUUGCAUGAAUGUACAAUACAUUAGUUCAUGUCCAUUUAAUAUCAACAUAACUUAAACAACUCUACAGGCUGCAUUAAACGUCUCCACUAGGUCUCAACACCGCUUAGGGGUUCACUCUUGAUCAACACAUGCGACACAGAUCGCACAACCACUCAAGCAACUACAUUCUGGUUGUACUCGCGAGGCGAGAGUACUUACUCGCCAUGGCGAGUAACACUAAUCUCCCAAACUGAUGUUGUUCUGGGUUCAAUCCUGUCCUAAAUCAUUCCUAAUCAUCUCUAGGUAUGUCUAGGCACUUAAAGGCACUCAAGGUCCAACUAAAAGGUCAAAAAUACAAAAUAUGACAUGCACUCUGCCUGAGCUCGCGAGGCGAGAAAGGGUUGCUCGCCAUGGCGAGUUGGACCAAACAACUCGCGAGGCGAAGGAAAGGGGCUCGCGUGGCGAGCGAUGAAGUCCAUCACUCGCGAGGCGAGGUUCAUCACUCGCUGUGGCGAGCGAUGAACAGAAGCACGGGCAGACUAGGGUUUUUCUCAAAAAUCCAUCACACAACAUGGUUCAAAGCCUAAUUUUGAUUCCAGAAUUCAUCCUAAACAUAUUCUAAGGUUAAAGGACGGUUUCUACAUCAAUCUAAACAAGUUUUACCGUUUGAUCAUCAAUUUUUAGGGUUUUAACCUAAUUCCAAAACUUUUCUAAAUCAAUCCUAACUUUGUCAACUAAUCAUCAGAAUUACAGAGGUUAAUGCUACUGAGUUAUUAGUCCCACCCUUACCUGGUUAUGAAGAAAAUCGCAGCCCUCUUGGUCUCUUGCUCCUCUCUAAGCUUUUUCUCCCUUUUCCAAAAGUUUUCACGUACAAU